GAAGCAAAACCAUGGGACAAGGGGAGGUCCCAGAGCACAGGUGGAAGGAAAAGGCACAAGAAUGACCAACAGACACUCCAGUUUAGACAGUGCCCUAGAAGCUGGAUCUUUCCUUAGAAUGAGGACCCUGCUCAGUUGCCCCCUCCCAGUCAUGUGGUGAGUACUGGGAGGAGG
ensembl:lncRNA novel transcript